GGUGAAGAACGCAGCGAAAUGCGAUAAGUAAUGUGAAUUGCAGAAUUCAGUGAAUCAUCGAAUCUUUGAACGCACAUUGCGCCCCUUGGUAUUCCAAAGGGCAUGCCUGUUCGAGCGUCAUGAUCAAAUCUCAAGCCUUGCUUGGUAUUGGGUUUUCGUCUACUUUUGACGUGCCUGAAAGUCAAUAGCAGUGCCUCAAUAUAGACUCAAGCGUAGCAGACUGACUCGCUUUGGAGAACUUUUGUGGUCCUGUGAACAUAAUAAUCAAGUUGGACCUCGGAUCAGGUAGGGAUACCCGCUGAACUUAAGCAUAUCAAUAAGCGGAGGA
rnacentral:misc_RNA from 1 species